rnacentral:misc_RNA from 1 species
GGGCACAAAAGGCAAACAUUAGUUUAGGAUCAUACCUUACUGCUUCUGAGGACGCUUCCUGGAGAUCACCUUCUGGGGAUUUCGCCUUUGGAUUUAGCCGAAUCAACGAUCAAGAUCUCUUCUUGCUAGCCAUCUGGUAUGAAAAAAUACCAGGCAGGACAUUAGUUUGGUAUGCAAAUGGAGACAAUCUAGCACCAAAAGGAUCAAAGCUUCAGCUUAGUAAUAAUGGCAACUUCACACUUACAGGUCCGCAAGGUCAAGAAAUCUGGAAUCCCAAGUCUAGCACUGAUGGAGUUGCAUACGCUGCCAUGCUAGAUGAUGGUAAUUUUGUUCUUGCAGGAAGAGAUUCUAAUUAUUUAUGGGAGAGUUUCAAGAACCCCACAGACACAAUCUUGCCAACUCAAGUACUGGAACUUGGAGGGAAGCUAUCUUCUCGGCAAACAGAAACAAACUACUCGAAGGGAAAGUUCCAGUUGUUCAUGAAAACAGAUGGCAAUCUGGUGCUCCGUCCUAUUGGCUUUUUC